rnacentral:rRNA from 1 species
AGUUUGAUCCUGGCUCAGAGCGAACGCUGGCGGCAGGCCUAACACAUGCAAGUCGAACGAAGUCUUCGGACUUAGUGGCGGACGGGUGAGUAACACGUGGGAACGUACCUUUUGGUUCGGAACAACUCAGGGAAACUUGAGCUAAUACCGGAUGUGCCCUUAGGGGGAAAGAUUUAUCGCCAUUAGAGCGGCCCGCGUUGGAUUAGGUAGUUGGUGAGGUAAAGGCUCACCAAGCCUACGAUCCAUAGCUGGUCUGAGAGGAUGAUCAGCCACACUGGGACUGAGACACGGCCCAGACUCCUACGGGAGGCAGCAGUGGGGAAUCUUGCGCAAUGGUCGAAAGACUGACGCAGCCAUGCCGCGUGAAUGAUGAAGGUCUUAGGAUUGUAAAAUUCUUUUAGCAGGGACGAUAAUGACGGUACCUGCAGAAAAAGCCCCGGCUAACUUCGUGCCAGCAGCCGCGGUAAUACGAAGGGGGCUAGCGUUGCUCGGAAUUACUGGGCGUAAAGGGAGCGUAGGCGGGUCGACAAGUUGGAGGUGAAAGCCCAGGGCUCAACCUUGGAAUUGCCUUCAAAACUGUCGAUCUUGAGUAUGGGAGAGGUAAGCGGAACUCCGAGUGUAGAGGUGAAAUUCGUAGAUAUUCGGAAGAACACCAGUGGCGAAGGCGGCUUACUGGCCCAUUACUGACGCUG